rnacentral:rRNA from 1 species
GAUGAACGCUGGCGGCGUGCUUAACACAUGCAAGUCGAACGGAAAGGCUCCUGCUUGCAGGGGUACUCGAGUGGCGAACGGGUGAGUAACACGUGGGUGAUCUGCCCUGCACUUCGGGAUAAGCCUGGGAAACCGGGUCUAAUACCGGAUAGGACCACAUUUUGGAUGGUGUGGUGGAAAGUUUUUCGGUGUGGGAUGAGCUCGCGGCCUAUCAGCUUGUUGGUGGGGUAAUGGCCUACCAAGGCGUCGACGGGUAGCCGGCCUGAGAGGGUGUACGGCCACAUUGGGACUGAGAUACGGCCCAGACUCCUACGGGAGGCAGCAGUGGGGAAUAUUGCACAAUGGGCGCAAGCCUGAUGCAGCGACGCCGCGUGGGGGAUGACGGCCUUCGGGUUGUAAACUCCUUUCGCUAGGGACGAAGCGCAAGUGACGGUACCUGGAGAAGAAGCACCGGCUAACUACGUG